GACGAACGCUGGCGGCGUGCCUAAUACAUGCAAGUAGAACGCUGAAGAGAGGAGCUUGCUCUUCUUGGAUGAGUUGCGAACGGGUGAGUAACGCGUAGGUAACCUGCCUUGUAGCGGGGGAUAACUAUUGGAAACGAUAGCUAAUACCGCAUAACAAUGGAUGACACAUGUCAUUUAUUUGAAAGGGGCAAUUGCUCCACUACAAGAUGGACCUGCGUUGUAUUAGCUAGUAGGUGAGGUAAUGGCUCACCUAGGCGACGAUACAUAGCCGACCUGAGAGGGUGAUCGGCCACACUGGGACUGAGACACGGCCCAGACUCCUACGGGAGGCAGCAGUAAGGAAUCUUCGGCAAUGGGGGCAACCCUGACCGAGCAACGCCGCGUGAGUGAAGAAGGUUUUCGGAUCGUAAAGCUCUGUUGUAAGUCAAGAACGGGUGUGAGAGUGGAAAGUUCACACUGUGACGGUAGCUUACCAGAAAGGGACGGCUAACUACGUG
rnacentral:rRNA from 1 species